rnacentral:rRNA from 1 species
GACGGAGGAUGCAAGCGUUAUCCGGAAUGAUUGGGCGUAAAGCGUCCGCAGGUGGCAGUUCAAGUCUGCUGUCAAAGACCGGGGCUUAACUUCGGAAAGGCAGUGGAAACUGAACAGCUAGAGUACGGAAGAGGCGAGUGGAAUUCCUGGUGUAGCGGUGGAAUGCGCAGAUAUCAGGAGGAACACCAAUAGCGAAGGCAGCUCGCUGGGACGUUACUGACACUGAGGCGCGAAAGCGUGGGGAGCGAACAGG